rnacentral:rRNA from 1 species
GCAGCAGCCGCGGUAAUACGAAGGGUGCAAGCGUUAAUCGGAAUUACUGGGCGUAAAGCGUGCGUAGGCGGUGAGUUAAGUCUGCUGUGAAAUCCCCGGGCUCAACCUGGGAAUUGCAGUGGAUACUGGGUCACUAGAGUGUGGUAGAGGAUAGUGGAAUUUCCGGUGUAGCAGUGAAAUGCGUAGAGAUCGGAAGGAACAUCUGUGGCGAAGGCGACUAUCUGGGCCAACACUGACACUGAGGCACGAAAGCGUGGGGAGCAAACAGGAUUAGAUACCCGCGUAGUCCCUGUCUCUUAUAC